AGCAGUCGCCGCGGUAAUACGAAGGGGGCUAGCGUUGUUCGGAAUUACUGGGCGUAAAGCGCACGUAGGCGGACAUUUAAGUCAGGUGUGAAAUCCCGGGGCUCAACCCCGGAACUGCCUUUGAUACUGGGUGUCUAGAGUAUGGAAGAGUUGAGUGGAAUUCCGAGUGUAGAGGUGAAAUUCGUAGAUAUUCGGAGGAACACCAGUGGCGAAGGCGGCUCACUGGUCCAUUACUGACGCUGAGGUGCGAAAGCGUGGGGAGCAAACAGGAUUAGAUACCCCGGUAGUCCCUGUCUCUUAUAC
rnacentral:rRNA from 1 species